GACGAACGCUGGCGGCGUGCUUAACACAUGCAAGUCGAACGGGAGUAUUGAAGAAGCUUGCUUUAGAGAUACUUUAGUGGCGGACGGGUGAGUAACGCGUGAGGAGCUGUCCUAUGCAGGGGGACAACAGCUGGAAACGGCUGCUAAUACCCCAUAAGCCGAGAGGUAAAAGGAUCAAUCCGGCAGAGGAGGUACUCGCGUCCUAUCAGCUAGUAGGUGAGGUAACGGCUCACCUAGGCGAAGACGGGUAGCCGGCCUGAGAGGGCGAACGGCCACGACUGGAACUGAGAUACGGUCCAGGACUCCUACGGGAGGCAGCAGUGGGGAAUAUUGGGCAAUGGGGGAAACCCUGACCCAGCGACGCCGCGUGGGUGAAGAAAUCCUUCGGGAUGUAAAGCCCUGUUGUAUGGGAAGAGCGGAAGACGGUACCAUACGAGGAAGCCCCGGCAAACUACGUG
rnacentral:rRNA from 1 species